GACGAACGCUGGCGGCGUGCUUAACACAUGCAAGUCGAACGGAAAGGCCUCUUCGGAGGUACUCGAGUGGCGAACGGGUGAGUAACACGUGGGCAAUCUGCCCUGCACUUCGGGAUAAGCCUGGGAAACUGGGUCUAAUACCGGAUAGGACCUUAAGACGCAUGUCUUUUGGUGGAAAGCUUUUGCGGUGUGGGAUGGGCCCGCGGCCUAUCAGCUUGUUGGUGGGGUGACGGCCUACCAAGGCGACGACGGGUAGCCGGCCUGAGAGGGUGUCCGGCCACACUGGGACUGAGAUACGGCCCAGACUCCUACGGGAGGCAGCAGUGGGGAAUAUUGCACAAUGGGCGCAAGCCUGAUGCAGCGACGCCGCGUGGGGGAUGACGGCCUUCGGGUUGUAAACCUCUUUCGCCAUCGACGAAGGU
rnacentral:rRNA from 1 species